CUUUUACGUAUACAUUUUUAAGGUAUAAGAGAUAUUGCGUGUGAUUUUAAUAAGUAGUGGUCUAAUAUUGCAUGAUUUUUAAGAAGUAGCGGUGUAAUCAUUACUUUCUAUUGUCUUUUGUUCCCUACAUGUAGCAGCUAUUGUCGAAAAGAAAGAGUUUCUCUCAUCUAUAAAAGGUAAAAUAGUUAUUUCGCAGGCUCAAAAAAGGUUAUUUAUCCAACUUUUCUGCACGAAGGCUAUUUUCUUAAUAAUGCUGUCAAAUUUGGUCAUCCUCUAAUAUUACCCUAUAAUUAAUAUAUCGAUGUGACACAUGUCUCUCAUGAUUUUUAAUUCUUAAAUAAAUUAAA
rnacentral:sRNA from 1 species